rnacentral:rRNA from 1 species
GCGACCCCAGGUCAGGCGGGAUUACCCGCUUGAGUUUAGGCAUAUCAUUAAGCGGAGAAAAAGAAACUUUACAAGGAAUUCACUUAGUACCGGCAGAUAG